rnacentral:rRNA from 1 species
CGUAGGAGACGAGCGUUAUCCGGAUUUACUGGGCGUAAAGCGUGUGCAGGCGGUUCGGCAAGUUGGAUGUGAAAUCUCCCGGCUCAACUGGGAGGGGUCGUUCAAUACUACCGAACUUGAGGUCAUCAGAGGAAGGUGGAAUUCCGGGUGUAGUGGUGAGAUGCGUAGAUAUCCGGAGGAACACCAGUGGCGAAGGCGGCCUUCUGGGAUGAUCCUGACGCUCAGACACGAAAGCUAGGGGAGCGAACGGGAUUAGAGACCCCGGUAGUCCUAGCUGUAAACGAUGUAGACUUGGCGUCGGAGGGUUCAAAACCUUCGGUGUCGUAGCUAACGCGAUAAGUCUACCGCCUGGGGACUACGGCCGCAAGGUUA